CAGAGCUCCAAGCCAACCAUCACUCCAGGGGAGGAAUUUUGCUUACCGCACACUAUGAAGCUCCUCACUGUUUUUCUUACCUUAUUAGCAUCUCCAUUGUGUGUCUACUGCAGUGUUCGACUCGUGGAAUCUGGCCCAGGACUGGUGAAACCAGGAGGGUCUCUGAGACUAACCUGCACAGUCACUGGGGACUCUGUUCAGAGCAAGCUUUGGGACUGGAUCCGACAGGCUCCUGGGAAAGGAUUGGAGUGGCUGGGGGAAAUAGAUUGGCAUAAAUCAAACUGGCGGACAGACUAUGCUCCAUCUCUCCAGGGCCGCAUCACCCUUUCUGCCGAUGCCUCCAGCAACACAUAUUCUCUCCAGCUGAACUCCCUGACAACUGCAGACACUGCCAUGUAUUACUGUGCACGAAAUAAAGCAGGGUCUGCC